GAUGAACGCUAGCGACAGGCUUAACACAUGCAAGUCGAGGGGCAGCAUAAAAGUAGCAAUACUUUGGUGGCGACCGGCGCACGGGUGAGUAACGCGUAUGCAACCUACCUAUCAGAGGGGAAUAACCCGGCGAAAGUCGGACUAAUACCGCAUAAAACAGGGGCACCGCAUGGUGAUAUUUGUUAAAGAAAUUCGCUGAUAGAUGGGCAUGCGUUCCAUUAGGUAGUUGGUGAGGUAACGGCUCACCAAGCCGACGAUGGAUAGGGGAACUGAGAGGUUGGUCCCCCACACUGGUACUGAGACACGGACCAGACUCCUACGGGAGGCAGCAGUGAGGAAUAUUGGUCAAUGGGCGAGAGCCUGAACCAGCCAAGUCGCGUGAAGGAAGAAGGAUCUAUGGUCCGUAAACUUCUUUUGCAGGGGAAUAAAGUGCAGGACGUGUCCUGUUUUGUAUGUACCCUGAGAAUAAGGAUCGGCUAACUCCGUGCCAGCCGCCGCCGUAAUAC
rnacentral:rRNA from 1 species